rnacentral:rRNA from 1 species
UCGGGAAUUUUGGGCAAUGGGGGAAACCCUGACCCAGCAACGCCGCGUGAAGGAUGAAGUAUUUCGGUAUGUAAACUUCGAAAGAAUAGUAAGAAUAAAUGACGGUACUAUUUAUAAGGUCCGGCUAACUACGUGCCAGCAGCCGCGGUAAUACGUAGGGACCAAGCGUUGUUCGGAUUUACUGGGCGUAAAGGGCGCGUAGGCGGCAUGACAAGUCACUUGUGAAAUCUCUGGGCUUAACCCAGAACGGCCAAGUGAUACUGUCGCGCUAGAGUGCAGAAGGGGCAAUCGGAAUUCUUGGUGUAGCGGUGAAAUGCGUAGAUAUCAAGAGGAACACCUGAGGUGAAGACGGGUUGCUGGGCUGACACUGACGCUGAGGCGCGAAAGCCAGGGGAGCAAACGGGAUUAGAUACCCGAGUAGUCCCUGAGCGGGCUGGCAAGGCGCAU